rnacentral:rRNA from 1 species
GACGAACGCUGGCGGCGUGCUUAACACAUGCGAGUCGAACGGAAGGGCCCUGCUUUUGUGGGGUGCUCGAGUGGCGAACGGGUGAGUAACACGUGAGUAACCUGCCCUUGACUUUGGGAUAACUUCAGGAAACUGGGGCUAAUACCGGAUAGGAGCUCCUGCUGCAUGGUGGGGGUUGGAAAGUUUCGGCGGUUGGGGAUGGACUCGCGGCUUAUCAGCUUGUUGGUGGGGUAGUGGCUUACCAAGGCUUUGACGGGUAGCCGGCCUGAGAGGGUGACCGGCCACAUUGGUACUGAGAUACGGCCCAGACUCCUACGGGAGGCAGCAGUGGGGAAUAUUGCACAAUGGGCGGAAGCCUGAUGCAGCAACGCCGCGUGCGGGAUGACGGCCUUCGGGUUGUAAACCGCUUUCGCCUGUGACGAAGCGUGAGUGACGGUAAUGGGUAAAGAAGCACCGGCUAACUACGUG